GGCCUAACACAUGCAAGUCGAGCGGUAGAGAGAAGCUUGCUUCUCUUGAGAGCGGCGGACGGGUGAGUAAUGCCUAGGAAUCUGCCUGGUAGUGGGGGAUAACGUUCGGAAACGGACGCUAAUACCGCAUACGUCCUACGGGAGAAAGCAGGGGACCUUCGGGCCUUGCGCUAUCAGAUGAGCCUAGGUCGGAUUAGCUAGUUGGUGGGGUAAUGGCUCACCAAGGCGACGAUCUGUAACUGGUCUGAGAGGAUGAUCAGUCACACUGGAACUGAGACACGGUCCAGACUCCUACGGGAGGCAGCAGUGGGGAAUAUUGGACAAUGGGCGAAAGCCUGAUCCAGCCAUGCCGCGUGUGUGAAGAAGGUCUUCGGAUUGUAAAGCACUUUAAGUUGGGAGGAAGGGCAGUUACCUAAUACGUGAUUGUUUUGACGUUACCGACAGAAUAAG
rnacentral:rRNA from 1 species